GUGAUGACGGUUGGGAAUGAAACAGAAGAGCUGAGCAGCAGUUGUUGGGCUCCGUGCCCACAUAACCACCCCGAGAAUGAAGGGGAGAAAAAAUUGACAGGCAUUAAUUGUUAAGAAGGAACUGCAGUCCCACUAAACACCACAAGAAUCCAGCCAGGCAAAUAAACCGGGGGAAAUGCUCGCUCUCCACAGGACAAAGGGUGAUAUCCUUAACAGGAAAAGAGCUCCUGCCAAAAGG